AGUGAACGCUGGCGGUAGGCCUAACACAUGCAAGUCGAACGGCAGCACAGAGGAGCUUGCUCCUUGGGUGGCGAGUGGCGGACGGGUGAGGAAUACAUCGGAAUCUACUCUGUCGUGGGGGAUAACGUAGGGAAACUUACGCUAAUACCGCAUACGACCUACGGGUGAAAGCAGGGGACCUUCGGGCCCUGCGCGCAUGAAUGAGCCGAUGUCGGAUUAGCUAGUUGGCGGAGUAAAGGCCAACCAAGGCGACGAUCCGUAGCUGGUCUGAGAGGAUGAUCAGCCACACUGGAACUGAGACACGGUCCAGACUCCUACGGGAGGCAGCAGUGGGGAAUAUUGGACAAUGGGCGCAAGCCUGAUCCAGCCAUACCGCGUGGGUGAAGAAGGCCUUCGGGUUGUAAAGCCCUUUUGUUGGGAAAGAAAUCCAGCUGGCUAAUACCCGGUUGGGAUGACGGUACCCAAAGAAUAAGCACCGGCUAACUUCGUGCCAGCAGCCGCCGUAA
rnacentral:rRNA from 1 species